AUUGAACGCUGGCGGCAGGCUUAACACAUGCAAGUCGAGCGGGGAAGAGUAGCUUGCUACUUGACCUAGCGGCGGACGGGGAGUAAUGCUUAGGAAUCUGCCUAUUAGUGGGGGACAACAUCUCGAAAGGGAUGCUAAUACCGCAUACGUCCUACGGGAGAAAGCAGGGGACCUUCGGGCCUUGCGCUAAUAGAUGAGCCUAAGUCGGAUUAGCUAGUUGGUGGGGUAAAGGCCUACCAAGGCGACGAUCUGUAGCGGGUCUGAGAGGAUGAUCCGUCACACUGGGACUGAGACACGGCCCAGACUCCUACGGGAGGCAGCAGUGGGGAAUAUUGGACAAUGGGGGGAACCCUGAUCCAGCCAUGCCGCGUGUGUGAAGAAGGCCUUUUGGUUGUAAAGCACUUUAAGCGAGGAGGAGGCUACCGAGAUUAAUACUCUUGGAUAGUGGACGUUACUCGCAGAAUAAGCACCGGCUAACUCUGUGCCAGCAGCCGCAGUAA
rnacentral:rRNA from 1 species